rnacentral:rRNA from 1 species
AUGAACGCUGGCGGCGUGCCUCAUCCAUGCAAGUCGAGCGCACAGACGAGGAGCUUGCUCCUCUGACGUUAGCGGCGGACGGGUGAGUAACACGUGGAUAACCUACCUAUAAGACUGGGAUAACUUCGGGAAACCGGAGCUAAUACCGGAUAAUAUAUUGAACCGCAUGGUUCAAUAGUGAAAGACGGUUUUGCUGUCACUUAUAGAUGGAUCCGCGCCGCAUUAGCUAGUUGGUAAGGUAACGGCUUACCAAGGCAACGAUGCGUAGCCGACCUGAGAGGGUGAUCGGCCACACUGGAACUGAGACACGGUCCAGACUCCUACGGGAGGCAGCAGUAGGGAAUCUUCCGCAAUGGGCGAAAGCCUGACGGAGCAACGCCGCGUGAGUGAUGAAGGUCUUCGGAUCGUAAAACUCUGUUAUUAGGGAAGAACAAAUGUGUAAGUAACUAUGCACGUCUUGACGGUACCUAAUCAGAAAGCCACGGCUAACUACGUG